AAAGUAUGUGGUAAAAAAUAAUUUUGUGCAUUUUUUACAUACGGAUUGCAUUUUUGCUGGGCGUUUUGUAUAUUUCAUAUGUGCCACUAAGUUCAAACCCCCCAAAUUAUGCUCAGCUAAGUCUUCUGAGUAAAAUGACACCCCCAAUGAAUGUCUUUGGCACUAUUUCGUGAAGCUACAGUGCCAUAUAGGAGACCAAGCCAUAUCCGUUUUUACCAAACUUUG
rnacentral:lncRNA from 1 species